GACAGAGGUGCCGAGCGUUAGGCGGAAUCACUGGGCUUAAAGCGUGUGUAGGCGGAUGCCUAAGUACCUUGUGAAAUCCCACGGCUUAACCGUGGAACUGCUUGGUAUACUGGGUGUCUUGAGCCACUUAGGGGCGACCGGAACAAAUGGUGGAGCGGUGAAAUGCGUAGAUAUCAUUUGGAACGCCAAUGGUGAAAACAGGUAGCUGGGGCUGUGCUGACGCUGAGACACGAAAGCCAGGGGAGCGAACGGG
rnacentral:rRNA from 1 species